rnacentral:rRNA from 1 species
CCUACGGGGGGCAGCAGUGAGGAAUAUUGGUCAAUGGACGCAAGUCUGAACCAGCCAAGUAGCGUGCAGGAUGACGGCCCUCCGGGUUGUAAACUGCUUUUAGUUGGGAAUAAAAGGGGGCUCGUGAGCCCCGUAUUGUAUGUACCAUCAGAAAAAGGACCGGCUAAUUCCGUGCCAGCAGCCGCGGUAAUACGGAAAGUCCGGGCGUUAUCCGGAUUUACUGGGUGUAAAGGGAGCGUAGGCCGGCUUUUAAGUCAGCUGUGAAAGUCCGCGGCUCAACCGUGGAAUUGCAGUUGAAACUGGAGGCCUUGAGUGCACGCAGGGAUGCCGGAAUUCAUGGUGUAGCGGUGAAAUGCGUAGAUAUCAUGAGGAACACCGGUCGCGAAGGCGAGUGUCCGGAGUGCAACUGACGCUGAGGCUCGAAAGUGCGGGGAUCAAACAGGAUUAGAUACCCGGGUAGUC